rnacentral:sRNA from 1 species
UAAUAAACAACAGAAGGGAUGAUGGGUGGCCGAUGUUAAACUAAUCUUAUUUUUAAAAGUUUGAAAUGAAAAUAUUUCAAAUCAUACAAAAUAGGAUUAGUCUGCCCAUUUUUCAUAUAUAACUUGAGCUAUUAGUGAAUAGCUUUAUUUGAGUACACAAAAAUGCGACUAAUCCUUCCAACAAAAUUGGGAGGAUUUUUUA